GUAGGUGGCAUAGUAAGCAGAUAGUGAAAUGGUGCGGCUCAACCGCAUGUCCAUUAUCUGAACUGCUAAGCUAGAGUAUAUGAGAGGUAGCUGGAAUUCCUAGUGUAGGAGUGAAAUCCGUAGAUAUUAGGAGGAACACCGAUGGCGUAGGCAGGCUACUGGCAUAUUACUGACACUAAGGCACGAAAGCGUGGGGAGCGAACGGGAUUAGAUACCCCGGUAGUCCACGCCGUAAACUAUGGAUGCUAGCUGUUAUUCGUAUCGACCCGAGUAGUAGCGAAGCUAACGCGUUAAGCAUCCCGCCUGUGGAGUACGAGCGCAAGCUUAAAACAUAAAGGAAUUGACGGGGACCCGCACAAGCGGUGGAGCGUGUUGUUUAAUUCGAUGAUAAGCGAAGAACCUUACCAAGGCUUGACAUCCCUGGAAGGUCUCCGAAAGGAGACUGUGCCUUCGGGAAUCAGGUGACAGGUGCUGCAUGGCCGUCGUCAGCUCGUGUCGUGAGAUGUUUGGUUAAGUCCAUCAACGAGCGCAACCCUUGUGAUUAGUUGAAUAUUCUAGUCAGACUGCCUCGGUAACGGGGAGGAAGGAGGGGAUGAUGUCAGGUCAGUA
rnacentral:rRNA from 1 species